GACGAACGCUGGCGGCGUGCUUAACACAUGCAAGUCGAACGGAAAGGCCUGCUUUCCCUUGUGGAUUGCGGGUACUCGAGUGGCGAACGGGUGAGUAACACGUGAGUGAUCUGCCCCCAACUUGGGUAUAAGCCUGGGAAACUGGGUCUAAUUCCCGAUAGGACUGCAGGGUGGUGCCUGUGGUGGAAAACGAUUUUCUAGUGGUUGGGGAUGAGCUCGCGGCCUAUCAGCUUGUUGGUGGGGUAAUGGCCUACCAAGGCGGCGACGGGUAGCCGGCCUGGGAGGGUGGACGGCCACAUUGGGACUGAGAUACGGCCCAGACUCCUACGGGAGGCAGCAGUGGGGAACAUUGCACAAUGGGCGGAAGCCUGAUGCAGCGACGCCGCGUGGGGGAUGACGGCCUUCGGGUUGUAAACUCCUUUCGACCGCGAGGAAGCCACCUGGUUGGAAGGGUGGUGACGGUAGUGGUAGAAGAAGCACCGGCUAACUACGUG
rnacentral:rRNA from 1 species